rnacentral:sRNA from 1 species
CAACAACUGAAAGGAGGUGAUCCAGUGUCUAUAAAGGGAUUGGAGAGAGGUGUCGGAACAGUCAGGGAGGUUCGUGUCUGAGGCAGCCCUUGGGCAUGUAAACACCCGGAUUGGCAGGGCCUAACCGACCUCGCCUCCGAAACUUUUAGAAGGGCCGUUCCACGAGGUUGGGGCGGCCC